GAGUUUGAUCGUGGCUCAGGAUGAACGCUGGCGGCGUGCCUAACACAUGCAAGUCGAACGGAUCCAUAUUGAAACCUAGUGAUGUAUGGAUUAGUGGCGGACGGGUGAGUAACGCGUGGAUAACCUGCCGUAUACAGGGGAUAACACUUAGAAAUAGGUGCUAAUACCGCAUAAGCGCACGGUUCCGCAUGGAACAGUGUGAAAAACUUCGGUGGUAUACGAUGGAUCCGCGUCUGAUUAGCCAGUUGGCGGGGUAACGGCCCACCAAAGCGACGAUCAGUAGCCGGCCUGAGAGGGUGAACGGCCACAUUGGGACUGAGACACGGCCCAAACUCCUACGGGAGGCAGCAGUGGGGAAUAUUGCACAAUGGGGGAAACCCGUGAUGCAGCGACGCCGCGUGAGUGAAGAAGUAUCUCGGUAUGUAAAGCUCUGUCAGCAGGGAAGAAAAUGACGGUACCUGACCAAGAAGCCCCGGCUAACUACGUGCCAGCCGCC
rnacentral:rRNA from 1 species